UAGAAGGUAGUGGACUAUAAUUUACGUUAUCGAAAAAAGACAGAAUAGAAUAGUAGAACGAUUGGUAGGAGGGGUGAAUCUUAAGGAAACUGAUCUGUCAAUUUGCAAUUCCAUUGAAGCCUGCCUAAUUUAAUGACAACCAUUAGCAUUAAUCUCCUUUCCACCUUUACAAAGUGUUAGGUGCACACUAAUAGCAGCAUGACCAGCUGUUCCUAUUAAGUGAUGUUAGGAGUUAGGACCAAUUGUAGACAGGGAUACUUAAGCAACAGCUAUGAAUGUUGCUGGUCUACUUUUACAUGUUUGAUAAACCUAAUGAUAUGAAGUUCUUGUUCAGCUAGAGUAGAGCAUGGAAAUAUAAUUAGCAAAAAUCAGUAUGAAACAACUUCUGCAUGACAAACAAAAAAUAUUACUACCUAGAGUUAUACAAAAAGCAUAUUAAAUAUUUCUAUUUAGUUGAACAACAUGGAGACAACUCAGCUGAACAAACCAUAUGCAUUAUGCCUCACCUAGACUAGAUCAAUUGUUUAAAAGAUACUAGGAUCGUGCCCGUGCGUUGCCACGAGCAGCAAAAUAUUUAUAUUACAAAACAGUAUUUAAUAAGAUAAUAAAAGUGUGAAAAUAAAUUUAAAGACAUAUUUAAUCUAAAAACGUAGUCACUGUAUUAAACAAAGCUAGACGGCACGAAGGGCAAGCAGUGUUAUCCAAUAACCUUUGAAAGAAUGCACACCACAUCCGAAUUGGAUCAGCCAAAAAGUAAUUUUAUAAAAACUUUGAAAAAAUGCACAUCACAUACUGUUUGGAUCAGCCAGAAAGUAAAGUUUAAACA
rnacentral:lncRNA from 1 species